rnacentral:misc_RNA from 1 species
AGGCGUCAUUUGCUUGUGA